rnacentral:rRNA from 1 species
AGUGAACGCUGGCGGCGUGCCUAACACAUGCAAGUCGAACGACGAAGUCCUUCGGGAUGGAAUAGUGGCGCACGGGUGAGUAAUAUAUAGUUAAUGUGCCCCAAAGGCCGGGAUAGCCACUGGAAACGGUGAUUAAUACUGGAUACACCUUUGUAAUAUAAGUUAUAAAGGGAAAUGAAUUUCGCUUUGGGAUCAGACUAUAUCCUAUCAGCUAGUUGGUGAGGUAACGGCUCACCAAGGCAAUGACGGGUAGCGGGUUUGAGAGGAUGAUCCGCCACACUGGUACUGAGACACGGACCAGACUCCUACGGGAGGCAGCAGUGGGGAAUAUUGCACAAUGGGGGAAACCCUGAUGCAGCAACGCCGCGUGGAGGAUGACGCAUUUCGGUGUGUAAACUCCUUUUAUAUGUCAAGAAAAUGACGGUAGCAUAUGAAUAAGCACCGGCUAACUCCGUGCCAGCAGCCGCCGUAA